UUGUCAAUUUCUGCAAAGAAGCCAGCUGGAAUUUUGAUAGAGAUUGUAUUGAAUCUGCAGAUCCAUUUCGAGGAGAAAGCACUUGCUUUUAACCAGGGCAUCAUACCAUUUAUCAAUCCCAAUGGGUUCUCUUCCAAAUACCUGGAGGUUAUGAGAAUGCCUUAUAUGCUUUGAUUUAUGGGAUUUAAUGAAAACUCCCAGUUGAAAAGCCCCGUGUCUCAACAAUGGAAAGGAAUGAAUCUCAUCCCUACUCAUCUUUCUGCAGUAGGAAUUUAUAGCCUUUUUUGGUUCCAGGCUCCCGGGAAGAGCGGCUCUGGGCUUUGUGAAGACCAGGGCACAGUCUUUUCUGAAUCUGGUCAAACAAUCAUCACCAAUAGAAAGCUAAAAGCCAGAGGCAGGGAAACUUCACCAGGUUUCCCUGCCUCUUCCCACCCCUUCACCUUAGUCCCUCAGAUCAUUCGUCAAUUAUCUGGUUAGUUGAGCCUUUUCUCUGCCAUUGUAAUAUAAAUAGCAAGCAUUUUAUGGGUCCCCAUUAAGCAAUGUGAUCAGCAUCAAUUACCUAAUGAGACUCUGGAAAGUCGUGAUUUAAAAUCCUGUCCUUAAUUGUGACUCCGCUUUGUCUAAAGCCAAUGUGAUAAUUGCAGUGACAUCCAAACUAAUGAUACUCCAGGUGUGGGGCCUCUGCUCCCAGCCUGGGUUUGACCCUGGGGAAAAUUCAUCCUCUGCCCAGGGGACCGAUCUCUGUACUUUGUUCUAAAAGGGAAAGUUUUAUAUGUUCUACUAGACCUCAGCGGGCGAUGGGUAGGCCUGCCCAGUUCUGCCCUGUAGCCUCCAGGACCUCUGGGCAUAGAAGAAAGAGGCUGAGACUAGAAGUACAGGGACACAGGGGACUAUUAGCUCCCCAGGUGAGGGAAUUUUGUCUGUUUUGUUCCCUGCUAUUUCCAUAGAGCCUUAGACUACCUGACACAUACCGUACUUCCCCAUGUAUAAGGCUCACCCUUUUUCGAAAAAUUUGGGGUCU